rnacentral:rRNA from 1 species
GUUGUAUAGUCAAGUAAUUAAGUGCAUGUGGUGGAUGCCUUGGCAGUCAGAGGCGAUGAAAGACGUGAUAGCCUGCGAAAAGCUCCGGGGAGGCGGCAAAUAUCCUUUGAUCCGGAGAUGUCUGAAUGGGGGAACCCACCUACUUUAAGGUAGGUAUUGCAACAUGAAUACAUAGUGUUGCAAGGCGAACGAGGGGAAGUGAAACAUCUCAGUACCCUUAGGAAAAGAAAUCAAUUGAGAUUCCCUCAGUAGCGGCGAGCGAACGGGGAUCAGCCCAUUAAGUUAUGUGUGUUUUAGUGGAACGCUCUGGGAAGUGCGAACGUAGAGGGUGAUAUUCCCGUACACGAAAGGGCACACAUAAUGAUGACGAGUAGGGCGAGGCACGUGAAACCUUGUCUGAAUAUGGGGGGACCAUCCUCCAAGGCUAAAUACUCCUGACUGACCGAUAGUGAACCAGUACCGUGAGGGAAAGGCGAAAAGAACCCCUGUGAGGGGAGUGAAAUAGAUCCUGAAACCGCAUGCAUACAAGCAGUGGGAGCACCUUCGUGGUGUGACUGCGUACCUUUUGUAUAAUGGGUCAGCGACUUAUAUUCAGUAGCAAGGUUAACCGUAUAGGGGAGCCGUAGAGAAAUCGAGUCUUAAUAGGGCGUUUAGUUGCUGGGUAUAGACCCGAAACCAGGCGAUCUAUCCAUGAGCAGGUUGAAGGUUGGGUAACACUAACUGGAGGACCGAACCCACUGUCGUUGAAAAGCCAGGGGAUGACUUGUGGAUAGGGGUGAAAGGCUAAUCAAGCCUGGUGAUAGCUGGUUCUCCCCGAAAGCUAUUUAGGUAGCGCCUCGGACGAAUACCAUAGGGGGUAGAGCACUGUUUCGGCUAGGGGGUCAUCCCGACUUACCAAACCGAUGCAAACUCCGAAUACCUAUGAGUACUAUCCGGGAGACAGACUGCGGGUGCUAACGUCCGUAGUCAAGAGGAAAACAAUCCAGACCGCCAGCUAAGGCCCCAAAAUCAUAGUUAAGUGGGAAACGAUGUGGGAAGGCAUAGACAGCUAGGAGGUUGGCUUAGAAGCAGCCACCCUUUAAAGAAAGCGUAAUAGCUCACUAGUCGAGUCGGCCUGCGCGGAAGAUGUAACGGGGCUAAAACUAUGUGCCGAAGCUGCGGAUNNNNNNNNNNNNNNNNNNNNNNNNNNNNNNNNNNUGCUGGAGGUAUCAGAAGUGCGAAUGCUGACGUGAGUAACGACAAAACGGGUGAAAAACCCGUUCGCCGAAAGACCAAGGGUUCCAGUCCAACGUUAAUCGGGGCUGGGUGAGUCGACCCCUAAGGCGAGGCCGAAAGGCGUAGUCGAUGGGAAAAUGGUUAAUAUUCCAUUACUUCUGUGUAAUGCGAUGAGAGGACGGAGAAGGCUAAAUCAGCCUGGCGUUGGUUGUCCAGGUGAAAGGAUGUAGGCAUGUAUCUUAGGCAAAUCCGGGGUACUCUAUGCUGAGAUCUGAUAGCAAGCUGUACUUGUACAGCGAAGUGGUUGAUGCCAUGCUUCCAGGAAAAGUCUCUAAGCUUCAGUUACACAGGAAUCGUACCCGAAACCGACACAGGUGGUCAGGUCGAGUAGACCAAGGCGCUUGAGAGAACUCUGCUGAAGGAACUAGGCAAAAUGGUACCGUAACUUCGGGAGAAGGUACGCUGUUGUUGGUGAUGGAACUCGCUUCCUGAGCUGACGACAGCCGCAGAAACCAGGCCGCUGCAACUGUUUAUUAAAAACAUAGCACUCUGCAAACACGAAAGUGGACGUAUAGGGUGUGAUGCCUGCCCGGUGCUGGAAGGUUAAUUGAUGGGGUUAGCGUAAGCGAAGCUCUUGAUCGAAGCCCCAGUAAACGGCGGCCGUAACUAUAACGGUCCUAAGGUAGCGAAAUUCCUUGUCGGGUAAGUUCCGACCUGCACGAAUGGCAUAAUGAUGGCGGCGCUGUCUCCAGCAGAGGCUCAGUGAAAUCGAAAUCGCUGUGAAGAUGCAGUGUACCCGCGGCUAGACGGAAAGACCCCGUGAACCUUUACUGCAGCUUGACACUGAACUUUGACCUUACUUGUGUAGGAUAGGUGGGAGGCUUUGAAGCUGGAACGCUAGUUCCAGUGGAGCCGUCCUUGAAAUACCACCCUGGUAAUGUUGAGGUUCUAACUCUGUCCCGUGAUCCGGGACGAGGACCGUGUCUGGUGGGUAGUUUGACUGGGGCGGUCUCCUCCUAAAGAGUAACGGAGGAGUACGAAGGUGCGCUCAGCGUGGUCGGAAAUCACGCGUAGAGUAUAAAGGCAAAAGCGCGCUUAACUGCGAGACCCACAAGUCGAGCAGGUACGAAAGUAGGUCUUAGUGAUCCGGUGGUUCUGUAUGGAAGGGCCAUCGCUCAACGGAUAAAAGGUACUCUGGGGAUAACAGGCUGAUACCGCCCAAGAGUUCAUAUCGACGGCGGUGUUUGGCACCUCGAUGUCGGCUCAUCUCAUCCUGGGGCUGAAGCAGGUCCCAAGGGUAUGGCUGUUCGCCAUUUAAAGAGGUACGCGAGCUGGGUUUAGAACGUCGUGAGACAGUUCGGUCCCUAUCUACCGUGGGCGCUGGAAAUUUGAGAGGAUCUGCUCCUAGUACGAGAGGACCAGAGUGGACGAACCUCUGGUGUACCGGUUGUGACGCCAGUCGCAUCGCCGGGUAGCUAUGUUCGGAAGGGAUAACCGCUGAAAGCAUCUAAGCGGGAAGCCUACCUCAAGAUAAGAUUUCCCUAGGACUUUAUGUCCUCUAAAGAGCCGUUCGAGACUAGGACGUUGAUAGGUUGGAUGUGGAAGCAUAGUGAUAUGUGAAGCUGACCAAUACUAAUUGCUCGUGAGGCUUGACUAUACAACACCCAAGCAGUUG